rnacentral:misc_RNA from 1 species
UCCUGGUUAACCCAGGCAGUCUCGACAGAGUGCCCAACUUAAUGCUGGCAACAGUCGAUAGGGGUUGCGCUCGUUGCGAGACUUAACCCAACAUUUCACAACACGAGCUGACGACAGCCAUGCAGCACCUCUCACUACAUUUCCUUGCGGACACCCCAAGAAUUACCCCGGGUUCGUAGGAGUUCAAGCCUAGGUAAGGUUCUGCGCGUUGCUUCGAAUUAAACCACAUAAUCCACCGCUUGUGCGGGCCCCCGUCAAUUUGUUUGAGUUUUAAUCUUGCGAUCGUACUCCCCAGGCGGAAUGCUUAAUGCGUUAGCUGCGCCACCGAAGAGCAAGCUCCCCAACGGCUGGCAUUCAUCGUUUACGGCGUGGACUAC